UCUGAUCUCCAAACCCAGCUCAGGGAUUGAAGCUAACUACCGCCACUCCUUCCUCUCUCGAAGAACAAAGAGCCAGUACCCAGGGCUCUGCCCACCCCCGAGAAGGGGUGCCUGAUUUCUUAUGUCUAGGGUGGCUCCUCUGUGCAGAUCAGACAGGACUGAGAGCAGACAAGCUGAGACCAGCAUGACCAGUACAGGGCACGCAGAGCGUGGGGGCAGGUCCGAGGCUGCUGCUCGAUGCAGGGUAUGACACCAACCCUUCCUGAAUUGCCAUCGGAUGAGGAGACCUGGUUCCCUGUUGAAAGAAUGCCAGGGGAAAUGCUGCAUGUGCACAGCUGGAAAUGGGGUUCCUUCUCUAGGAAGAGCACUCGGAAUAACCUGCUGGAAAUGGGGUUCCUUCCCUAGGAAGAGCACUCAGAAUAACCUGCUGGAAAUGGGAUUCCUUGGCUAGGAAGAGCACUCAGAAUAACCUGCUGGAAAUGGGAUUCCUUGGCUAGGAAGAGCACUCAGAAUAACCUGCUGGAAAUGGGAUUCCUUACCUAGGAAGAGCACUCGGAAUAACCUGCUGGAAAUGGGAUUCCUUACCUAGGAAGAGCACUCGGAAUAACCUGCUGGAAAUGGGGUUCCUUCCCUAGGAAGAGCACUCGGAAUAACCUGCUGGAAAUGGGGUUCCUUCCCUAGGAAGAGCACUCGGAAUAACCUGCUGGAAAUGGGGUUCCUUCGCUAGGAAGAGCACUCGGAAUAACCUGCUGGAAAUGGGAUUCCUUCGCUAGGAAGAGCACUCGGAAUAACCUGCUGGAAAUGGGAUUCCUUCGCUAGGAAGAGCACUCGGAAUAACCUGCUGGAAAUGAGAUUCCUUCCCUAGGAAGAGCACUCGGAAUAACCUGCUGGAAAUGGGAUUCCUUCGCUAGGAAGAGCACUCGGAAUAACCUGCUGGAAAUGAGAUUCCUUCGCUAGGAAGAGCACUCGGAAUAACCUGCUGGAAAUGGGAUUCCUUCGCUAGGAAGAGCACUCGGAAUAACCUGCUGGAAAUGAGAUUCCUUCGCUAGGAAGAGCACUCGGAAUAACCUGCUGGAAAUGGGAUUCCUUCGCUAGGAAGAGCACUCGGAAUAACCUGCUGGAAAUGGGAUUCCUUCGCUAGGAAGAGCACUCGGAAUAACCUGCUGGAAAUGGGAUUCCUUCCCUAGGAAGAGCACUCGGAAUAACCUGCUGGAAAUGAGAUUCCUUCCCUAGGAAGAGCACUCGGAAUAACCUGCUGGAAAUGGGAUUCCUUCGCUAGGAAGAGCACUCGGAAUAACCUGCUGGAAAUGGGAUUCCUUCGCUAGGAAGAGCACUCAGAACAACCUGCCUGCUUGAGGGUGACAGCAAGUGUCUCACACUUCUCGUCUACUCCAAGUCAGAUUCCUAAAAAUAAAAUAGAGCUCCAAUGGGCAAUUUAAGCAAAAGCCUUAGAAACAUGGACACCUGAAAUGCUGGCCUACAUGAAGGGUACGAUGACAUUUUAUAUAUUAAAUAAAAAUUCCCAGUCCUGUUUUAGUAUUCAUCAGAAUAGCCUCUUGGACCCUCGAAGUUCUACACCUUUGGGAGAUAUAAAUUUCCUUAAAAUAAAGGGAUUGCUUCUUUGUGUAAAUAGCUUUCAUUUUCUCCAUCUGGAAGUGAUUUCUGCCUGCAUGUUGGAGCACAAAAUACUGCAGUUAAUUAAAGCAUUACUGGAUGUCAUUUGCUAGAAUGUAUUUCCUUACUGCUGACAGAAAACAGAACAGACUCUAGGAAAGAAGUAGCAAGUCCGUGACCCUGGCCGCUCCUGGUGGCUGCCCUUCUCCCUUCCCUGACAGUCUAAGGAAGCAACGCGUGGGAGCAGAAUGUGGCCGACUGAGCCCAGUCCUGACCUGCCCAGUUGCAGUGGAGCCUGUCUGUAAUGUUGUGUAAAGUGUUUUGCUUCUGACUUGGAACCCUACUUGCCCUGUGAAUUUCUAUCCUGUGAACCUUCCCUUCUCUGUCCUUACCGUUCCCAUCACAGCCUGCUCUUCCAGUGACGGCCAAGUGAUUUCUCUCCUGCACGCAUGAGUCCAUCCUGUUUCCUUAGUAGCUGGAUGGACGUUUUGCCAUGAAAACUCUUUGGGAAGUCUUGUGUCCUUUAGUGAUUUCUCUCCUGCACGCAUGAGUCCAUCCUGUUUCCUUAGUAGCUGGUUGGACGUUUUUGCCAUGAAAACUCUUCGGGAAGUCCUGUGUCCUUUCAACAGGGGAAAACUGGCUGCGGCCCUUCCAUUAGGCUCCAGGAUCAUUACCUCGUUUCCAUUCUUUCUUUUCAACAGCUCCCCACUUUACUAGGGAAGCCAAGGGAUCAACCUAAUGAGAAAAGAACCUUCCCUGUAGCCCACCUGGAAGGGCAUUGCCUGCCAGCUCCUUCCUUCUCACCUAUGUGAACAGGAGGGAAGAUGCCGGCGAUCCAUGGAUCUGUGGGACAUGAAGGACGUGUCCAUCAGAAAUGAAAGCAGCCUGGGAUUGGAAGCAUCCACAGAAGACUUGAUCUGCAGGUCUUGAUUUGGACCUGGCACUUUGACACCAGGCGAGUCACUGAUCCCCUGAGCAUCCAUUUUCAAUAUUGGUGAGAGGGGAUUAUAAUGAAUAUUGGCUGUGAAGGUCACACAAGACCGGGCUAUAUGCACUUGCUCUGCCAUAAGGCAGUGUGAAGUGUGUUCGUGAUCACUUGUGGGCGGGAGCCUGUGGCUGUCUUGCCUGGACUGGCUUUUUUAAACAUGGAUGAGUGGUGACAAAUCCUGCGGCCGUGUGCAGGCUACAUCCGCAGCGAGCUCCGCAUAUCUGGUCUUUGCCUUUUUAGGUCAUGACUGUAAUAUCAAGCUUACACGAGAGUUUUAAAAGACUGAGCAGUAUCCCCUUCCCCUGGCAGCUGCUGCUUCCGUAGCAUUUAGGGAUAAACCUGCAGACACUGAGAAGAGAGCUUCCUCCCUCCUGGGGCUGGUGGCGAGGCUGCCUGUUGUGGAAAAUAGGGCAUGUCUCCUGUGAAUGCGAAUUGCGAGGGUUGCCAAAGCCUCCCUUCCAAGAAACUUGCUUAGGUGUCUGGUGUCCACAGACCAGACUCUUCUCCCGACAGGGACAAAAAUUCUUGCCUGCCUUUCUUUUUCUUUUUUUUCCUUUUACUUAUUCUUGCCUUUUUUCUUCUUCUUCUUCUUUAGGUAUGAUGCCCCCCAAAAAACUAAGCAAGAUUAACUUGGGACAGGCAGUUCUAACUGGGAAGCCUGAGCUCACAGGCUGUUUGGAUUACUUUCCAAUUGUGUUUCAAAGAUGUUUAGACUUUUCCCAAGGCCAGCUGAAUCCUUAUAAUCAGCCCAAAAGUUCCUUUCUGUUUCUGUCUGUCCCCUUUGAGGGUGUUGACUCAGAGAACCUGGGGCAAUAUGAGAUGUUAAAAUAAAAAUAGCGUCC
rnacentral:lncRNA from 1 species